rnacentral:rRNA from 1 species
GACGAACGCUGGCGGCGUGCUUAACACAUGCAAGUCGAACGAAGUGGCGAACGGGUGAGUAACGCGUAAUCAACCUGCUCUUCAGAGGGGGACAACAGUUGAAAACGACUGCUAAUACCGCAUACUGUAGGAGGGGCUUGCGUCUGAUUAGCUAGUUGGAGGGGUAACGGCCCACCAAGGCGAUGAUCAGUAGGCGGUCUGGGGGGGUGAACGGCCAAAAUGGGGCCGGGGAAAGGCCCAGACUCCCACCGGAGGGAACCGUGGGGGAACUUCCGCAAUGGAAGGAAGUCUGACGCAGCAACGGCGGCUUGGUGAUGACAGGCUUCGGGUUGGAAAGCUCUUUUAAUCAGGACGCGGUACCUGAAUAGAAAGCCACGGCUAACUACGUGCCAGCAGCCGCGGUAAUUC